UGUCCCAUGGCUUAGUUGGUUACGGCGUCCGACUGUUAUCCUCUCCAAGUUCCAAUCGGAAGAUCGAGAGUUCAAGUCUCUCUGGGACAG